AACGCUGGCGGCGUGCUUAACACAUGCAAGUCGAACGCGAAAGGGACUUCGGUCCUGAGUAAAGUGGCGCACGGGUGAGUAACGCGUAGAUAACCUGUCUUCAUGUCUGGAAUAAUACGCCGAAAGGGGUACUAAUACCGGAUAUUCUUGCUUUUCAUAAGUUAUGCAAGCAAAGGUGGCCUCUGCAUAUGCUACUGCAUGAAGAGGGGUCUGCGUACCAUUAGCUAGUAGGUGGGGUAAUGGCCUACCUAGGCGACGAUGGUUAGCGGGUCUGAGAGGAUGAUCCGCCACACUGGCACUGGAACACGGGCCAGACUCCUACGGGAGGCAGCAGUGAGGAAUAUUACGCAAUGGGGGAAACCCUGACGCAGCGACGCCGCGUGAGUGAAGGAAGGCCUUCGGGUCGUAAAGCUCUGUCAAGAGGAAGGAAGUGUACAAUGGCUAAUACCUGUUGUAUUUGACGGUACCUCUAAAGGAAGCACCGGCUAACUCCGUGCCAGCCGCUGC
rnacentral:rRNA from 1 species